rnacentral:rRNA from 1 species
UACGUAGGGGGCAAGCGUUGUCCGGAUUUAUUGGGCGUAAAGAGCGUGUAGGCGGCCAAACAGGUCAGCUGUGAAAACUCGAGGCUCAACCUCGAGACGUCGGUUGAAACCGUUUGGCUAGAGUCCGGAAGAGGAGAGUGGAAUUCCCGGUGUAGCGGUGAAAUGCGCAGAUAUCGGGAAGAACACCCGUGGCGAAGGCGGCUCUCUGGGCAUGUUCUGACGCUGAGGAGCGAAAGUGUGGGGAGCGAACAGG